AACUACCCAAAGUAGACAGCAUGCAAAAGACAAUUCUUGCAAUCAUCGCCUGGACCCUCUUCGGUCUGUGUUGGUCUUCCAGCUCAAAGUAAUUUCGACGUGAAGGCUUAUAUGGGCACCUUUUACGAAUAUUCCAAGUACCCUGUUGAUUUCGAAAACGACAAUAAGUGUGUGACAGUAUCACUCCUGCGAAAAAGUCAAA